rnacentral:rRNA from 1 species
UUGGCGGACGGGUGAGUAACACGUGAGCAACCUGCCUUCGAGAGGGGAAUAACGGCUGGAAACGGUCGCUAAUACCGCAUAACAUACAGGAGGGACAUCCCUUUUGUAUCAAAGAUUUAUCGCUCGAAGAUGGGCUCGCGUCCGAUUAGGUAGUUGGUGAGGUAAUGGCCCACCAAGCCGACGAUCGGUAGCCGGACUGAGAGGUUGAACGGCCACAUUGGGACUGAGACACGGCCCAGACUCCUACGGAAGGCAGCAG